GACGAACGCUGGCGGCGUGCUUAACACAUGCAAGUCGAACGGACAGGCGCUGCUCUUGUGGGGUGCUCGAGUGGCGAACGGGUGAGUAACACGUGAGUAACCUGCCCCUGACUUUGGGAUAACUUCAGGAAACUGGGGCUAAUACCGGAUAGGAGCUCCUGCUGCAUGGUGGGGGUUGGAAAGUGUCGGCGGUUGGGGAUGGACUCGCGGCUUAUCAGCUUGUUGGUGGGGUAGUGGCUUACCAAGGCUUUGACGGGUAGCCGGCCUGAGAGGGUGACCGGCGACAUUGGGACUGAGAGACGGACCAGAAUCCUACGGGAGGCAGCAGUCGGGAAUAUUGCACAAUGGGCGGAAGCCUGAUGCAGCAACGCCGCGUGCGGGAUGACGGCCUUCGGGUUGUAAACCGCUUUCGCCUGUGACGAAGAGUGAGUGACGGUAAUGGGUAAAGAAGCAACGGCUAACUACGUG
rnacentral:rRNA from 1 species